UCUACCCUUAGAUGCAUUGCAGGUGUGGCUGGUGUGUCAUGAGUGCAGUAGUAUACUGCAGAGAAGUGAGGGCCUGUGUCUAACGCUCAGUGUUUUAACCUAUAAACAACUGAAUGAUUAGUAGUCUAACAUU